UUUUGGUAUAACUAGAUUAAAAUAUCCUGAACAAGGUUUCCUGUUCGAAUCUUGUGCUUAAAUAUUAUAUAGUUAGAAGGGAAUACCAAAUUAAAGGUGGACUAUGAUAUAUUCAGGUUAGGAUUAGUGAGGAUGUUCAAAACUGAACCAACCCAGCUGAAAAUCACAUAUCCUAAUCAACUCAAACCGAAAUUAACCACAUAGAAUACAAAUGAAUUUGGGUCUUUUUUUUUACUGGAUUGUGCAUUCCGGUUCGGUUUGCGGUUUUUAUUUUAACAACCGAACCAAACCAAAUUAAAUGCAAACGUGAUAUAUGUUUCUUAUUUAUGCAUUAUAUGUUUCUUAUUUUGAUGUAAUGCAACAUGCUAAUGGUAAAAUUAGCAAUUUAUACAUGAUUGAUACUUUUGUUUUGAUAUAA
rnacentral:lncRNA from 1 species